rnacentral:lncRNA from 1 species
GCACCGAUUGUGAAGAAUGGACUGUGUACUUUAUCAGGUUGGGCCAGUAAGGGAAGACUGCUGGCUGAGUCACCGUCUGAGCAGCGUUUUCGGGAGCAAUCUCCCGAACAGGAAGAGAGGCCUUCUCUAGAAGCAGUAGGAAGGGGCCCGGAGGCUGUGGGGAAACCACAAGCAGUCCCAGGGCUGGGAGCAGAGCCCCCAGGCUCACACACCUUGACCGCUUCCCAGGGGGAAUGAGCAGGUAGGCAGGGGCCCUAGCCGACUAACGCAAGAAGGCAGUUCUCAGAAGAAACUUCUUCACGGAGGUGUCUCCCCGCGCUGGGUUUUGGCAGCCGCACUGCAUUCCUGGAGGACUGGGUCGUGUCAGAACAGUGCCCGAGGGCUGCGCCCCCUGCUUAGACAAGUUCAAAGACAUCAGAAGUCGGUCUCUGAGACGGACAGGAAAACGAUGCUUUCUACUUAGCCGCCAGAAGAGUUUAAAGUCUGAGGCUUCAUAGACAUUCAAAGAACCCAGAGCAAUCCUGAGAGGACCUCAGAGAGAACACCUGCUUGCCUUCUGAGUCCUCCUGACGAAGAGGAGAAUGUGCCCUGUCGACGAAAAUAAUCCAUAACCAAUCUAUAAACAAGAAUUUGGCAAGGCACAACCCAGGGAGUUGCCAAGAUGAUUACACAGAAGGUGAAUCAUGAUUGUGCGGCCUACAGCUCCGCGAGAACUCAGGAGGGAGUCGCUCUCGGAAGACAACGACCUCGUUACUGACGUUAUGGGAGCAGCGAGCGGCACGUCUUCUCUG